rnacentral:rRNA from 1 species
AUGAGGGACAUAUUCUCUUUCAUAUGGAUUAAAAGGGAGAAAUGCUUCGGUGGAUGCAUUCAAAGGGUAAACUGCGAUGGAGUAGUAUACUGUACUACUGUUGGUUGCCAGCCUCGUUGCAGGAGAUACAACUGCUGCUAUUGCCGGAGCCUCCACCACGAUAUCAUCUCCAAGGUCUUCCAGUUGCAGGAGAUACAGCUGCUGCUAUUGCCGGAGCCUCCACGACCAUAUCAUCUCCAAGGCUUUCCAGGGGAGGAAUGUCCGCGCAUUUCUCUUCUCUCACGCCAUGAACAUCGCUACGGGGGCCAAGGAGGACAGGCAGCUCAUGACCGGCUUCACACGGUGGCCGAUAUCCAUUGCCGUGAUUGCCGCGAGGUGCUUGGAUGGAAAUACGAGAGAGCCUACGAAGAAUCCUACAAGCACAAGGAAGGCAAGUUCAUAUUUGAAAAGGCCAAGAUCGUGAACGAUAAUUGCUAG